rnacentral:rRNA from 1 species
GACGAGCCACACGAACGUUAUUCGGAAUUACUGGGCUUAAAGGGUGCGUAGGCUGCGCGGAAAGUUGGGUGUGAAAUCCCUCGGCUCAACCGAGGAACUGCGCCCAAAACUACCGUGCUCGAGGAAGAUAGAGGUAAGCGGAACUUACGGUGGAGCGGUGAAAUGCGUUGAUAUCGUAAGGAACACCUGUGGCGAAAGCGGCUUACUGGGUCUUUUCUGACGCUGAGGAACGAAAGCUAGGGGAGCAAACGGG